rnacentral:rRNA from 1 species
GACGAACGCUGGCGGCGUGCCUAAUACAUGCAAGUAGAACGCUGAAGUAGGAGCUUGCUUCUCUGGAUGAGUUGCGAACGGGUGAGUAACGCGUAGGUAACCUGCCUGGUAGCGGGGGAUAACUAUUGGAAACGAUAGCUAAUACCGCAUAAGAGUAGAUGUUGCAUGACAUUUGCUUAAAAGAUGCAAUUUCAUCACUACCAGAUGGACCUGCGUUGUAUUAGCUAGCUGGUGGGGUAACGGCUCACCAAGGCGACGAUACAUAGCCGACCUGAGAGGGUGGUCGGCCAAACUGGGACUGAGAAACGGCCCAGGACCCUACGGGAGGCAGCAGGAGGGAAUCUUCGGCAAUGGACGGAAGUCUGACCGAGCAACGCCGCGGGAGGGAAGAAGGUUUUCGGAUCGUAAAGAUCUGUUGUAAGAGAAGAACGAGUGUGAGAGUGGAAAGUUCACACUGUGACGGUAUCUUACCAGAAAGGGACGGCUAACUACGUG